AUGUUUCUGUCAAAUGGGUCCAGAUUUUACACAGUGGGCUUGGCUGCUGCAACCUGGGCUAUAUGGUUGGCACGUAAUAGAGCUACCUUUGAGAAAAAGUUGAUUAAAUAUCCUUUUGAGAUUGUGUUUUCGGCUUGUUCUUUUCUUUUGUAUUGGGCAGGCCUACAGACUAAGGAAGAAUCAGUGAAGCUACGUCAAAGAGCCGAGAUGAUCCGAUCAAGCACAACCAGGCUGAUGGCGAUGUGCGAGGCUAGACACACGGUGGAUGACACUGGAGAAGUGCUGCCUUGGUGA
rnacentral:rRNA from 1 species